rnacentral:tRNA from 4 species
AGCCGAGCGUAAGCGUAAUUGGAGCGCGGUGCUCUCCUUAUCCUCAGGUGUCCUGAGGUCGCUUCCAGCCUUCGAGCUGUGACGCGGGGUUCGAAUCCCUGCCUCGGCUACCA